GACGAACGCUGGCGGCGUGCUUAACACAUGCAAGUCGAACGGAAAGGCCCUGCUUUUGUGGGGUGCUCGAGUGGCGAACGGGUGAGUAACACGUGAGUAACCUGCCCUUGACUUUGGGAUAACUUCAGGAAACUGGGGCCAAUACCGGAUAGGAGCUCCUGCUGCAUGGUGGGGGUUGGAAAGUUUCGGCGGUUGGGGAUGGACUCGCGGCUUAUCAGCUUGUUGGUGGGGUAGUGGCUUACCAAGGCUUUGACGGGUAGCCGGCCUGAGAGGGCGACCGGCCACAUUGGGACUGAGAUACGGCCCAGACUCCUACGGGAGGCAGCAGUGGGGAAUAUUGCACAAUGGGCGGAAGCCUGAUGCAGCAACGCCGCGUGCGGGAUGACGGCCUUCGGGUUGUAAACCGCUUUCGCCUGUGACGAAGCGUGAGUGACGGUAAUGGGUAAAGAAGCACCGGCUAACUACGUG
rnacentral:rRNA from 1 species